rnacentral:tRNA from 1 species
GCCUGGAUAGCUCAGUUGGUUAGGGUGUGGGGCUGAUAAUGCCAUGGUUGCAGGUUCGAUUCCCAUAUGGGACA